UACGAAGGGGGGCUAGCGUUGCUCGGAAUCACUGGGCGUAAAGCGCACGUAGGCGGCUUUUUUAAGUCAGGGGGUGAAAUCCUGGAGCUCAACUCCAGAACUGCCUUUUGAUACUGAGAGGCUUGAGUCCGGGAGAGGUGAGUGGAACUGCGAGUGUAGAGGUGAAAAUUCGUAGAUAUUCGCAAGAACACCAGUGGCGAAGGCGGCUCACUGGCCCGGUACUGACGCUGAGGUGCGAAAAGCGUGGGGGGAGCAAAAC
rnacentral:rRNA from 1 species